CUCCUGCAAAACUAUCACUCUCCUAUCCAUACAUCAUCAGAUUUUCGAGUUCGUGCUCCUCCCCUCUUCAUCGCCUUCAAGGCUGUUUCCCGUGGUAUUCUCUACGCAUGGGGUCUUCCAUCACGAGGUGUAACUUGCUGCUGCCGUAUUUCAAGAUUUGUUGUUACCCACGAACUCUCGAACUCUCGGAAGACGCUUCAAACUUUGUCAGACCUGGUUGAUUUUUGAAAACGGUUUGGAGGAGCAAGAUCAACAUUAUCCACCCCAUUGUAGAUUGUCGUCGUUUUUCUCCUUUUUUUCAUCAGCAUUUUCCGAAGAACUCCUAGUAUUUCAACGAUUUUUUUCACAUCUGCGUUUUUAUUUUUAUGUUUUUAUUUUUUUUUUGUAAUUUAUAAUUAAGUGAUUAGUUCACUUAAUUUCAUAUUCUUUAAUAAAGCUGGUUUAUGCAAAGAAAGUCACAACUGAUUGGUUCGGUUUGAAAUUCAGAAUUGCUUUGUGCUAUUCAAAAUCCAGAACUAUUUAGUAUGGUUCAAAAUUUGAAAUAGUUUGUCUGUUUCGAAGUUAAGUCUGAGUUGAUCUGACUGAAACAAGGACUGCUUUGUAGGUUAAUCCCUUAUAUUUGAAGAAAAUGGCUAAAUCAAGAAAUAACGAAGUCCUGAAAUAUGAUUUUUGGAAUGCAAAUGGUCUUACACUACCAAUUAAUCCAAUGGUCAAAUUACUAAAAAUGUUUGAAACUACUUGGAAGGAAAGUGAUCUGGUUUUCAUACAAGAGACC